rnacentral:ncRNA from 2 species
UCUCGAAAUUUCUCUUCAGGUGACCUGAUGUCUUUUGGAAAUUCGGUGGAAAUCCGAAGCGGUCCCGCCCCUGUGUUUCCCUCGCAAGAGGGAAGAGCCAGCACUCCAGCCUGAAGCAUUUCUGACCA